GAAGAUAGCUAUUGCAUUCUAAAUUAUUUCCUACUUUCUUGGCUAAAUGUGCCCAUUUUCCUAAAUGUCAGAUUAUAUAUCCUUUUGAUUCAUAACAGAGGCUUUGGGACACCCAGAUAACAUAAAGAAGGGUAAAAGGAAAAGCGCCAGAUUCAUGGAUUGUCCUCUGCAUCUAAAAUGUGGGCAAUUGGAGGACAUGAAACAGUUGAUCUGCUCAUGAAUGUCUUUGGCUAUUACAAGGGACAGAAGAAUGACCUAAAGAGUGUGAACUCUAACAUAGCCCAACCAUUUCUCCCCAGGACAAAAACUAUUAAAUGUCUAGCAGAUAUGGCCUCCUUUGACUUUGUUCAAAUGGGAUGAAACCUUAUUAAAACAUCAAAUCUCAAAGACACAGUUUGGCCACAGAUCUAUUUCAAGUUAAAGGCCACUCUGUGAACAUAGCCCUUUUGCAACUUUCAAACAUUUCAUAAAUGUGCAGUUAAUAGGAAGAUUGAUAAAUUCUCACUUUAACUGCUGUUCAGAGCUGUCAUCUUCUUCUCGCUAGAUCUCAUGGCCUAAAGAAGGAACUUCUAGUAUGCUAAAUGUCACUACAGGGUUGAAACUCCCAGCGUAUUUUUGUGUAUUAACUUAAAUAUUAACUUAAGUAUUAACUUAAAAUAAUUCUCAUAGGUGCAUAGAGUAAUAGAACUGGUAUUCUAUAGUAUUAUAGAAACCUCAGAUACAAAUAUGGAUGACGAGCCUUUUGUUUUUUAGGAGUAGAGACAAGGGCAGUUUGAGAAGAAGUAUUUAAUAAAGGACAAGCAAAUGGCA
rnacentral:lncRNA from 1 species